GUUAUAUCCUCCUCCGUAUGCCCAGAGCAGCCCGGCUUUCGUCAUCAGUGUGCCAGCAUCACACUCCCUGCACUCCUACUCCUAAUAAAACUGCCCUGAGGACAACAUACUCAGAUUGGAACAUGGAGCCUGGAUGGUACAUGAGCACGUGCCUGAGGCAGGGGUGAAUGAUGCACGGAACACUGUCGAGUCUCCUAUCAUUUCCCUAAUGAAAUAAAAUUAAAAGAUUACAAUGAUCAGCUGUGCCUAAAACCAGUUUGUUCUUCAGUACUCAGAACGCAGCCACGAUGGAGCCUUGACUUAGGGAUGUUAUUCUCUUUGUCUGAAACUUUCCACUGACUCAAACCCCUGGAGGUGUGGAAGAAGAGAAUCCUGUUUUGCAAGCCUAAGACUUCCCUUGUGAUGAGGUGAUUUCCUACCACAACACUGUUGUACAAAAAGUGCUAAUGUAUGUGCAAGUGAGCUACGUAAAAGCUGUGGCCCCCUCUUCUAAGCCUUUUUAACUCAUCGUUCGGCGCUUUUGACCUGAUCCGCUGCUGGUUUUGACACCAAAGAACCGAAAACGUCACAAAUUUAAAAGAACAUAAUAGAGGCUGUGUCACACUGAAGUAUGUCAAUGGUAGAUCAACGCAUCAGCCUAAAUUCCAGCAAGUUGCAAAUUUGCAGAGGAGAAAUUCCUAACAUCUGACAGGUAGAGAAGGUGGCACUUCUCUGUCCUGCUUGGCAAAGACCCGAUAUACCUUUGUCCAAAAGCCAAGUGGAUGAUUCCAAAAAGUUCCCUCUCUGACAGAGGCUCCAGACUGAAUCCAAGUAAGGCAGUCAUUUGACUAGUAAACCCCAGCCAAGGAGGAAGAUGGCUGCCAAAAACAGCUGCCAGCUCUCCAAGUUGAUUUUCACCAUCACCCCACAUCUAAGACACAAAUGGAAAAAUAUUCAGGUGCUGGUCAAUGUAAGAGAAAAUUCAAGCCAGAAAUAAAAUGCUGAAAUCUAAGUGUGCAACAGACCCAAACAACCCACAGGAACAGAGAAGCAGCUAACCAGAAAGCUCAAGAGCUAAUAAGCAACUGCUUAAAAAGACUUUAUACAUAGUGGACUGCUAAGAGCAAAAUCAGUGUUUUCUGAAAUUUCUUGUAACAAAGUUAAGGCCU